rnacentral:rRNA from 1 species
UACGGAGGGGGCAAGCGUUAUUCGGAAUUAUUGGGCGUAAAGGGCGCGUAGGCGGCUAGAUGUGUCAAAGGUGAAAUCCCUCGGCUCAACUGAGGAACUGCCUUUGAAACUGUCUGGCUUGAGGCCGGGAGAGGGUAGCGGAAUUCCCAGUGUAGCGGUGAAAUGCGUAGAUAUCGAGAGGAACACCUGCGGCGAAGGCGGGUUGCUGGGCUGAUACUGACGCUGAGGAGCGAAAGCGUGGGGAGCGAACAGG